GACGAACGCUGGCGGCGUGCUUAACACAUGCAAGUCGAACGAGAAUCACUGGAAGGAGUUUUCGGACAACGGAAGGUGAGGACAGUGGCGGACGGGUGAGUAACGCGUGAGGAACCUGCCUUUCAGAGGGGGACAACAGUUGGAAACGACUGCUAAUACCGCAUGACACAUAGAGAUCGCAUGGUUUUUAUGUCAAAGAUUUAUCGCUGAAAGAUGGCCUCGCGUCUGAUUAGCUAGUUGGUGAGGUAACGGCCCACCAAGGCGACGAUCAGUAGCCGGACUGAGAGGUUGACCGGCCACAUUGGGACUGAGAUACGGCCCAGACUCCUACGGGAGGCAGCAGUGGGGAAUAUUGGGCAAUGGGCGCAAGCCUGACCCAGCAACGCCGCGUGAAGGAAGAAGGCUUUCGGGUUGUAAACUUCUUUUGUCGGGGACGAGUAGAAGACGGUACCUGGCGAAUAAGCCACGGCUAACUACGUGCCAGCAGCCGCGGUAAUACGUAGGUGGCAAGCGUUGUCCGGAUUUACUGGGUGUAAAGGGCGUGUAGCCGGGAAGGCAAGUCAGAUGUGAAAUCCACGGGCUUAACUCGUGAACUGCAUUUGAAACUACUUUUCUUGAGUAUCGGAGAGGCAAUCGGAAUUCCUAGUGUAGCGGUGAAAUGCGUAGAUAUUAGGAGGAACACCAGUGGCGAAGGCGGAUUGCUGGACG
rnacentral:rRNA from 1 species